CCAAUAGCGUAUAUUAAAGUUGUUGCAGUUAAAAAGCUCGUAGUUGAAUUUCGGGAUCAAUAUGUCGGUCGUGCCUCGGUACGUACUGGCGUAAUUGGUUUCUCCCUUCUGAAGAACCUCGAUGUCAUUAAUUUGGUGUCGUGGGGAAUCAGGACUGUUACUUUGAAAAAAUUAGAGUGUUUAAAGCAGGCUCGCGCUUGAAUACAUUAGCAUGGAAUAAUGAAAUAGGACGUUUGAUUCUAUUUUGUUGGUUUCUAGGAUCGACGUAAUGAUUAAUAGGGAUAGUUGGGGGCAUUAGUAUUCAAUUGUCAGAGGUGAAAUUCUUGGAUUUAUUGAAGACUAACUACUGCGAAAGCAUUUGCCAAGGAUGUUUUCAUUAAUCAAGAACGAAAGUUAGGGGAUCGAAGACGAUCAGAUACCGUCGUAGUCUUAACCAUAAACUAUGCCGACUAGGGAUCGGAUGAUGUUAAUUUUUUAAUGACUCAUUCGGCGCCUUACG
rnacentral:rRNA from 1 species